AUUGAACGCUGGCGGCAGGCCUAACACAUGCAAGUCGAGCGGAAACGAUCCUAGCUUGCUAGGAGGCGUCGAGCGGCGGACGGGUGAGUAACGCAUAGGAAUCUGCCCGGUAGUGGGGGAUAACCUGGGGAAACCCAGGCUAAUACCGCAUACGUCCUACGGGAGAAAGCAGGGGCUCUUCGGACCUUGCGCUAUCGGAUGAGCCUAUGUCGGAUUAGCUGGUUGGUGAGGUAAUGGCUCACCAAGGCGACGAUCCGUAGCUGGUCUGAGAGGAUGAUCAGCCACAUCGGGACUGAGACACGGCCCGAACUCCUACGGGAGGCAGCAGUGGGGAAUAUUGGACAAUGGGCGCAAGCCUGAUCCAGCCAUGCCGCGUGUGUGAAGAAGGCCCUCGGGUUGUAAAGCACUUUCAGUGGGGAAGAAAUCCUCGGGGCUAAUACCCUCGAGGGAGGACAUCACCCACAGAAGAAGCACCGGCUAACUCCGUGCCAGCAGCCGCGGUAAUACGGAGGGUGCGAGCGUUAAUCGGAAUUACUGGGCGUAAAGCGCGCGUAGGCGGCCUGAUAAGCCGGUUGUGAAAGCCCCGGGCUCAACCUGGGAACGGCAUCCGGAACUGUCAGGCUAGAGUGCAGGAGAGGAAGGUAGAAUUCCCGGUGUAGCGGUGAAAUGCGUAGAGAUCGGGAGGAAUACCAGUGGCGAAGGCGGCCUUCUGGACUGACACUGACGCUGAGGUGCGAAAGCGUGGGUAGCAAACAGGAUUAGAUACCCUGGUAGUCCACGCCGUAAACGAUGUCGACUAGCCGUUGGGGUCCUUGAGACCUUUGUGGCGCAGUUAACGCGAUAAGUCGACCGCCUGGGGAGUACGGCCGCAAGGUUAAAACUCAAAUGAAUUGACGGGGCCCGCACAGCGGUGGAGCAUGUGGUUUAUUCGAUGCAACGCGAGAUCUACUACCCUUGACAUCGAGAGACUUGGCAGAGAUGCCUUGGUGCCU
rnacentral:rRNA from 1 species